rnacentral:lncRNA from 1 species
UUUUUUUUUUUUUUUUUUUUUUUUUUUUUUUUUUUUUGUGGCCUUCCUCACUGCAUUGCGUUCUUCUCGCAUGCGGACCAUCUUUUCACUUGCACAAUCACCUUAUCACAAUCUUCAUUGGAUGCGGAUUGCUUUUUUACACAGUCACUGUAUCGCAUGCGGAUCACUGUUUGCACAGUCACUAUACUACAUUCUUCUCUGCACUCUUCUCUUCACGCGGAUCACUAUUUGCACAGCUACUGUACUGCAUUCUUCACUGCAUGCGGAUUGCUGUUUACACAGUCACUGUACUGCAUUCUUCACUGCAUGCGGAUUGCUGUUUACACAGUCACUGCAUCGCAUGCGGAUCCGUUUCUUUUGCAACUGUUGAGAUCGUUGUAUAUAUAUACAUAGGCAUACGCACACACAUACACACAUAGGGCACUGCACAUUCACCACACAGCUGCUACCUGGCUGCGAUCACGACUGCGUGCACUGCUUCCUGCGUUCCCCGCGUCUGCUAGCUGGUAAGUCUCUGUAUUUGCUACCUCUUUCAGCUCUACAUCUUCGUCGACUGGGCUUUCUUAUGUAGCAUCCUCUGUUGCUCAUGCUACUAACAGUGCGCCUAUUGUUCCUGGAGGAUCCUCGUUUGCUGCUACUGAGCUCGGUGCUGGAAGGAAAUGCAGCAGAGAGGAGGUAGGAUGCGGAUCCUGACGGCGAACGACGGGUUCGGGUUGGCUUCGCAUUGAUGGACAGAGACGGUGGUCUGAGGCUGCAGAAGUGAGCUUGACAAGGGGAGUCUCGGUGCUGGAGCUUAAGGUGUGCAAAGCGUUGAGGAGGGGAUGACCAGUGCUGCAGACGGGAAGAAGAAGGCAGUCGGCUGGCAGGAUGCAGCUUUUACUUCGUGAGUCCGUUUAUAUGUAUAACCCAUCACCAUGCAUAUAUAUAUAUAUGUCCCAGAGCCGCACGCAGCAGGCGUUUAUAUAUAUAUAUGUCCUGGAGCCGCACACAGCAAGCCUUUAUACAUAUAUAUAGCCUGGAGCCGCACACACUUACACUUAUUAUAUAUUAUAUACACAACCUUGAGAUUAGUUGUCUCAUCUUGGAUGCCGCACAUACUUACACUUAUAUAUAUAUAUAUAUAUAUAUAUAUAUAUAUAUAUAUAUAUAUUAUAUAUAUUUAUAUAACCCUGAGAUGCUUUUUGACAUGUUGUACGUACAUAUAUAUAUAUAUAUAUAUAUAUAUGUUGAGUGUCCUGUCGCUUUGCAUAUAUAUAUAUAAGUUGGCUGGCGGUUGUCCCAUCCUUCUGCAUGCAUACAUAUAUAUGGAAGUUGGUUGUGAUUGAUACCGUGCACACAUGUACAUGUAUGUGGAAAUUGAUUUGUCCCUUCACCAAACCGUGCACUUGUUUCAUCAUCAUGCAUAAUAUAAUGUUUUUUUUUUUUUUUAUAUGCACGAUGUGUGUGCUCCCACUGAUGGAUUUGUUUGCUAUGAUGCCAGGAAUCUUUGAUCUUGAGAAGGCAGAGCUUGACGCCAGGAUCUUCACGAAGCUUUUAGAGCCGGGGUAACAGGUCGUGGGUGUGCCAGAUACUGCAACGAGGUUUCGCUGUGUAGUGCCUUUUGAUCACAGUUUUCCCUCGGUGGUGUGCUGCCGUGUGGAGCUGUGCAAGAGACUGCAGCAGGGCUCCGCUGCGGGUUUACGUAGCAUUUUGGUUUCCUCUGCCACUGUAACGUGCUUUGAAGGACCGUCUUAUAGCUGCCCUCUUUGCCGCUGUUGCUUGGAGCCUGCUCCAGUGCGUCACCUUUAACUUGUGGGGUUGUGCAAAAGACUACAGCGAGUUUAUGCUGUGUAGUGCCUUUUAGUCACAACUUUCCUUGGUGGGGACGUUGCCGUGCACAUUAACCUUGCUGCUUGCCAUGGGCUCUUUGCCGCUGCUGCUCGGAGCUUGUUCCAGUGCGUCAC